GCGCUGGCGGCGUGCUUUAUGCAUGCAAGUCGAACGAUACCGAUGAACCAAGCUUGCUUGGAACAUUGGAAGAGUGGCAAACGGGUGAGUAAUACGUAAGUAACCUGCCCCUAAGUAGGGGAUAACUCUGAGAAAUUGGAGCUAAUACUGUAUGUGGUGGUGAAGGUAGGGCUUCACUACUAAAGCCUUCGGGCGCUUAGGGAGGGGCUUGCGUCCGAUUAGCUAGUUGGUAGGGUAAUGGUUUACCAAGGCGAUGAUCGGUAGCUGGUCUGAGAGGGCGAUCAGCCACACUGGGACUGAGACACGGCCCAGACUCCUACGGGAGGCAGCAGCAAGGAAUUUUGUGCAAUGGGCGAAAGCCUGACACAGCGACGCCGCGUGAGGGAUGAAGGCCUUCGGGUUGUAAACCUCUUUUCUCAGGGAAGAAUAAUGACGGUACCUGAGGAAUAAGUCUCGGCUAACUACGUGCCAGCAGCCGCGGUAAUACGUAGGAGGCGAGCGUUAUCCGGAUUUACUGGGCGUAAAGCGGGCGUAGGCGGCUUUUCAAGUCGGGUGUGAAAUCUCCCCGCUUAAUGGGGGAGGGGUCAUUCGAUACUGUUAAGCUAGAGGGCAGCAGGGGGAGGUGGAAUUCCCGGUGGAGUGGUGAAAUGCGUAGAUAUCGGGAGGAACACCAGUGGCGAAGGCGGCCUCCUGGGCUGUUUCUGACGCUGAGGCCCGAAAGCGUGGGGAGCGAACAGGAUUAGAUACCCUGGUAGUCCACGCUGUCAACGAUGGAUACUAGGUAUAGGGAGUAUCGACCCUCUCUGUGCCGAAGCUAACGCGUUAAGUAUCCCGCCUGGGGA
rnacentral:rRNA from 1 species